GAUGAACGCUGGCGGCGUGCCUAAUACAUGCAAGUCGAGCGAACAGACGAGGAGCUUGCUCCUCUGACGUUAGCGGCGGACGGGUGAGUAACACGUGGAUAACCUACCUAUAAGACUGGGAUAACUUCGGGAAACCGGAGCUAAUACCGGAUAAUAUAUUGAACCGCAUGGUUCAAUAGUGAAAGACGGUUUUGCUGUCACUUAUAGAUGGAUCCGCGCCGCAUUAGCUAGUUGGUAAGGUAACGGCUUACCAAGGCAACGAUGCGUAGCCGACCUGAGAGGGUGAUCGGCCACACUGGAACUGAGACACGGUCCAGACUCCUACGGGAGGCAGCAGUAGGGAAUCUUCCGCAAUGGGCGAAAGCUAGACGGAGCAACGCCGCGUGAGUGAUGAAGGUCUUCGGACCGUAAAACUCUGUUAUUAGGGAAGAACAAAUGUGUAAGUAACUAUGCACGUCUUGACGGUACCUAAUCAGAAAGCCACGGCUAACUACGUG
rnacentral:rRNA from 1 species